AUUGAACGCUGGCGGCAUGCCUUACACAUGCAGGUCGAACGGCAGCACGGGGCAACCUGGUGGCGAGUGGCGAACGGGUGAGUAAUGCAUCGGAACGUGCCAUUGAGUGGGGGAUAACGUAGCGAAAGUUGCGCUAAUACCGCAUAUUCUGUGAGCAGGAAAGCAGGGGACCGCAAGGCCUUGCGCUCUUUGAGCGGCCGAUGUCAGAUUAGCUAGUUGGUGAGGUAACGGCUUACCAAGGCGACGAUCUGUAGCGGGUCUGAGAGGAUGAUCCGCCACACUGGAACUGAGACACGGUCCAGACUCCUACGGGAGGCAGCAGUGGGGAAUUUUGGACAAUGGGCGCAAGCCUGAUCCAGCCAUGCCGCGUGAGUGAAGAAGGCCUCG
rnacentral:rRNA from 1 species